AGCAAGUCCUCAUUCUCUUUGCCAGGCUUUACGUAUAUCAGACACCCUGUCAAUUGAAUUAGGCUAAGAUGAGUCCAAACGAUACUUCAAACUAUUCUCUAAGACACCUGAAAACAACAAAUGAGCAUUUCUGGGAAAUGCUAGAAAUGAAUAGAAACCCAGAGAUCUCCUCUUCUCAUCACUGGGAUGGUCUUUAUCUAGACUCUGCCCACAAUGUUGAUGGGGAUGAGGAAAACAUCUACGUGAGGGUGGCCUGUGUCCUCGCUCCUGUUACCCCCUGCCUGAAUUACGUGGUGUUCAUGAAAGCCUGGAAUAGGGACAAAUGCUGUCUCACAGAUAACUUCAAUUCUACCAGAGAAGAAAAUAUAAUUGGAGAGUCCAGUGUUCUGUGUAACUUAUUUAGCAAUUUCUACUCUGAUUCUGCUGAUGCCCUGCACUGCAAGAAAUCAACAGUGUGGAAAGAGGAUUGGCUCCUCUCUAUCACUACUAGGGACUCCUGUGGGGAGUAUGUACCACCCAAUGCACAGUUUGAGGCUCAGUAUAAUUACAUCGGGCACAUUAAAGGACUGAGGUAA
rnacentral:lncRNA from 1 species